GUCUCUGUAGUAUAAUGAUUACCCUGGUCUUGUAAACCAGCAAUGGGGACCCAAAACCCCCUGAGACA
rnacentral:tRNA from 1 species